GGCGCCGUGGCCAAGUGGACUAAGGCAGCGGAUUGCAAAUCCGCCAUCCCCGGUUCGAAUCCGGGCGGCGCCU
rnacentral:tRNA from 1 species